UCCAGGGUGACCUGAAAUCUGAAGGAAGCCGGAGACAAAUUUCCGCCCCGAGGAACACGAAUCUCAUAAAAGGCUGUCUGUCUGGGGUGAGUCUGCAUAACAAGACGAAACCCCAACGACCAAAGGGGCAGGCAGUAAAUGAGGCGGGGAUAUGGAAAGGAAGUUUAUGCU
rnacentral:ncRNA from 1 species